rnacentral:misc_RNA from 1 species
UAAAGGUGUAUAUAUAUAUAUAUAUUUCGGUGCUCGCGAUGUCGUCUACAGUGUACGAAUUCGGUUAUGAGCUGAAUUCAAAGCAGGUGCGUGUGUACCAAACCCAUGAUGUAGGAAGCGUACACCGUGCCAUCACAGCUAAUCUUCAGGAGUACCUGGCUUACGAAGGUGUUCAGGAAGAGGACCCGACGUCUCUGAAAAACUUGUUUGUCAAGGCGCUUACGUUAGGCGCUGCUGCUGAAGUGUAUGUGCUUAGCAAGUUUCCGGUUUCUGGGCUGCUGCUUGCUAGCUCUUUUUUCUUCUUCGGCAUACUCAUCGCGUUUCAGCUUACCUCUUCUCUCCUACAACGCAACGGAGAUAUUAUUUUUGUAGGCACGGGAAGAUUGACUGGAAAUCCAUCGAGGUCGCAAAAGCCGUGCUUCCGCAAGCUGAAGAAUCAGCGUUUGUGCGUUCGUUUGACGCAAGAAAGCAUGUGCGCCCCAUUGGUCAAAUUUGAGUUUCAGCUUAUCGGACCCUCUCGACUAUUUUCGCCGCCUCCUGUUUAUAGCCAAGUUGAAAAAACAGUUCAAUAUGGCCAGUUUUUCGGAUCGACCGGCUUCUUCUUUCCACCCCCGCUACAGAAGCUUAUUGACGGGAUGUUGGAGGCAGUUGUCUCGAAGAAGCAGAAAUAAGCGAACUAACACUGUGGAAGCGUCGUCUCUUUCCAUAGAUUUCUUCGCUGCUGUGCUGACAACGCACCUUUUGUUGCCGGUGCCUUCGCAGAUUUUAUUUGGCAUUUGUUUUCUGCCUUUCCCUUUCCUUGUCUGCAGCACACUUGAGGCACAAAAUU